rnacentral:rRNA from 1 species
UACGUAGGGGGCAAGCGUUGUCCGGAUUUACUGGGCGUAAAGCGCGCGUAGGCGGCAGGUUAAGCGUGCCCUGGAAGCCCCCGGCUCAACCGGGGAGGGCGGGUGCGAACUGGCUUGCUUGAGGGCGAUAGAGGAGUGCGGAAUUCCUGGUGUAGCGGUGAAAUGCGUAGAGAUCAGGAGGAACACCGGUGGCGAAGGCGGCACUCUGGGUCGGCCCUGACGCUGAGAAGCGAAAGCAUGGGGAGCGAACAGG